rnacentral:rRNA from 1 species
GAAAGUAAGCAAGGGCAGACGGUGGAUGCCUUGGCUCUCGGAGGCGACGAAGGACGUGAUAAGCUGCGAAAAGCCCGGGGGAGGCGCAAAUAGCCGUUGAUCCCGGGAUAUCCGAAUGGGGCAACCCGGCAGGCUGAAGGCCUGUCAUCCCGAAAGGGAGGCGAACGUGGGGAACUGAAACAUCUAAGUACCCAUAGGAGGAGAAAAUAAACAAUGAUUCCGUAAGUAGUGGCGAGCGAACACGGAAGAGCCCAAACCCAUGUCGUCUAGGCGACACGGGGGUUGUAGGACCACGACGUGGCAAGAAGGAAGGGAAAUGGAACGCCUUGGAAAAGUCGGCCAUAGACGGUGAAAGCCCGGUACAUGACUCCCUUACGAAGCCUAGUGGUAUCCUGAGUAGCGCGGGGCACGAGAAAUCUUGCGUGAAGCAGCGGGGCCCAUCCCGUAAGGCUAAAUACUCCCGAGAGACCGAUAGCGAACCAGUACCGUGAGGGAAAGGUGAAAAGAACCCCGAGCAGGGGAGUGAAAUAGACCCUGAACCCGUCUGCCUACAAGCGGUCGGAGCGUCGUAAUGACGUGACGGCGUGCCUUUUGCAUAAUGAACCUACGAGUUACCUUCCCCGGCAAGGUUAAGUACCUAAGGUACGGAGCCGAAGCGAAAGCGAGUCUGAACAGGGCGCCAAGUCGGGGGGGGUAGACGCGAAACCGAGUGAUCUACCCUUGGCCAGGUUGAAGGUUGGGUAACACCAACUGGAGGACCGGAUGGGUAAGCGUUGAAAAGCUUUCCAAUGAGCUGAGGGUAGGGGUGAAAGGCUAAUCAAACUCGGAGAUAGCUCGUACUCCCCGAAAUGCAUUUAGGUGCAGCCUCUUUAUAGUAUAUCGUGAGGUAGAGCGACUGAUUGGAUGCGAGGGCUUCACCGCCUAUCAAGUCCAGAUAAACUCCGAAUGCGCGAUAUAUAUUUACAGGGAGUGAGGGCGCGGGUGCUAAGGUCCGUGUCCGAGAGGAGAAGAAUCCAGACCACCGGCUAAGGCCCCCAAAUGAUCGUUAAGUUGAACUAACGAGGUCGGAUCGCAGAGACAGCUAGGAUGUUGGCUUGGAAGCAGCCAUUCAUUUAAAGAGUGCGUAACAGCUCACUAGUCGAGCGAUCUGGCGUGGAUAAUAAUCGGGCAUAAACGAUCUGCCGAAGCCGUGGAUGUCGCAAGACAUGGUAGGGGAGCAUUCCAUGCCGCGUCGAAGAUGAGGGAUGACCCUUGUUGGAGCGCAUGGAAAAGCAAAUGUAGGUAUGAGUAACGAUAAGGGGGGCGAGAAACCCCCCCGCCGAAAGACCAAGGUUUCCUGAUCAACGCUAAUCGGAUCAGGGUGAGUCGGGACCUAAGGCAAAGCCGAACGGCGCCGCCGAUGGAAGAAUGGGUUAAUAUUCCCAUACUGCCUCAUGGAGUGACGUGGAGACGGAGAAGUGACAGUCCUGCCGGCUGACGGAAUAGCCGGUUGAAGGGUGUAGAUAUUGAUUCCCGUAGGCAAAUCCGCGGGGAGAGUCGAACCUGAGAGUAUACGGAGCGCUUGCGCAACGUAAUAUGGACGUAACCAUGCUCCCGAGAAAAUCCGCUAAACUUAUCCAUGCGGCACCCGUACCGUAAACGGACACACGUGGUCGGGUUGAGAAUACUGAGGCGCUCGAGUGAUUCACGGUUAAGGAACUAGGCAAAUUGACCCUGUAACUUCGGGAUAAAGGGUCCUCGUCGUAAGGCGAGGCGCAGAGAAUAGGUCCAGGCAACUGUUUAACAAAAACACAUGGCUGUGCUAAAUGGAAACAUGAUGUAUACAGCCUGACACCUGCCCGGUGCCGGAAGGUUAAGAGGAGAUGUCAUCCGCGAGGAGAAGCGUUGAAUUGAAGCCCCGGUAAACGGCGGCCGUAACUAUAACGGUCCUAAGGUAGCGAAAUUCCUUGUCGGGU